UCAGCAACCAUUGGCCUAGUUGGAUCAGAGU
rnacentral:piRNA from 1 species